GAUGAAGAACGCAGCGAAAUGCGAUAAGUAGUGUGAAUUGCAGAAUUCAGUGAAUCAUCGAAUCUUUGAACGCACAUUGCGCCCUUUGGUAUUCCAAAGGGCAUGCCUGUUCGAGCGUCACUUGUACCCUCAAGCUUUGCUUGGUGUUGGGCGUCUUGUCUCUAGCUUUGCUGGAGACUCGCCUUAAAGUAAUUGGCAGCCGGCCUACUGGUUUCGGAGCGCAGCACAAGUCGCACUCUCUAUCAGCAAAGGUCUAGCAUCCAUUAAGCCUUUUUUUCAACUUUUGACCUCGGAUCAGGUAGGGAUACCCGCUGAACUUAAGCAUAUCAAUAAGCGGAGGA
rnacentral:misc_RNA from 1 species